GCAAAAGUGAGCAAAAACAAAUAUAGGUUUUAAAAUUAUGCUCAAAUAAAAUUGCUUGUUUUCACUUAAAUGAAAAGCAGUUGAGACUCAUAAACUUUUUAAUUUUAUCAAUUAUUGGUUAAGAAAUUUGAGUCUUCGUUGCUCAUGGAGGUUCAAAUUGUAGAUGAGAAUAUAUGAAAUCUCUCAAGUAUAACUAAGAAUUAAUAACAACU
rnacentral:misc_RNA from 1 species